ensembl:lncRNA
GCUCUGCGCUUUACCUGCUUGCUGCCUAAGGCUGGCCACACUGCUGCUGCUCUCUCCCAAGAAGGUGACUGACAACAGAAGCCUCACGAGCUGAUGCCUGCAUGCUGAUGGUCUCCCUCCUGGGCCUGCUACCUGAGACCUGCUGCUUCCUCGUGGACUUACCCUGCUGCUUCUUCCUGGUACCCUCUUGUUGCCUAAGUCUGGCCACGCUGCUGCUCUCUCCCCUGCACUUUUGCCUCAGACCGUCAGAAUGGCAUGCAACAGGAUUCUGCUGGAUCUUGGUGGAUUCUUUCCCCCAUCCCACUGGGAAGGAGCUGUGUGGUUCUUAGCUGCCUGGUGGGUUAAGCCACAAGAGACAACUAUCAUCCUUUUAAACUCUUCCUUCUCUGGAUGUAAAGACUGAGGUUUACUACUACCUUUAAACUGCAGGAGAAAGAGAGAUGGGGAAAAAUAAUUAUUUUGGGAAUAGGUAUUAUAGUAGUGAUUAUAUCAGUCUGUUGUAAUGAAAGCAUAUGGUGGUGUGAACCUACAGGCAAUUCCUGAAAAAUAUUGAUUUUUGUCAUAGUGAGGCUCAAAAACAAGCCACAGCAUGUGUGGAAAUUCUUUAGUGUAUAUUAAAGUAUUGUGAGAUUGUGCUCCCUGCUGCUACCAACUUUCUCUUUCAGCCUGGACAUUAUGCCCGUGGCUUUGCACAGGACUGAUAACAAUGUCUUGCUAAAUACUAUGACCACAUAUUAUCAUCUUACCCCAUAAAUAGUGAGAAGCCCAAGAGCCAACAGCUCUAAUUCUCAUAAAAAGAUUGCACGUGAUCUCUCCAAUUCCUUCUAAAUAUUGUGAAUCUUGAGUGACUAUUGUUUUGGAGUAGAUUAUGUGGAAUAAUUAGUGGAGGUGACUCAGUGCAAUAUACCCAUCUUAAGAGAAGGUACAGCACUGAGGAAAUCCCCAGGUUGUGAUGUGGCGAAUAUGUACGUAGUUUGUCCUCUGACAGUCCCCUAAGAAACAUAAGGCUUUCAAACCUUGCACUGUCAGUAACACCAGAGGAGCUCAGUUUGCUGACUGUAAGAUAUCCAGAACAGAGAGUGGAGCAGAGUGUAAACACCAUGGUCAGGCUCUGUGAUAACACUGGGAGGAUGGGAACUGAAAAACUACAUAGCUGUAACUGUGAGUCAGCAGCUUUUCAUUUUUCUGUCACACCAAUAAGAAAAAAGAUAUGUUUGACUAGAGUCACUCAAGGUCCACCUGAAAUUAAGAAAAUAAUGCAAAAAUGGCUUAAGAGAGAAGGAAUUUGAGGGAAGACACCAUUGCAGACAAGCCAAGAGGAUGCCACUGGCUUCUGGGAUCAGUCAACAGGUUGAACCUCUUUAUCCCUCAUAGGCACACCUAUUGGGUAAGAUUCACACACUUGGUUAUAAUGAGUGCUUCCUUGCAAAACUUUGAAAUCUCCAUAGUUAUUCCAUAAUUUAACAUGUUUGCAGUCGACUGAAUUAUUCAUAUCCUUGGUAUUCGUAUGUGCUGUACAGACAGUGUAUUUAUCACUGGCAAUUCAAAGGAACCUGUAAUCUGUUUCCUCGAUAAAAAAAUAUUUAUCAAGUUAGCCUUGUGAGUUCUCACUGGUCACAGCAAAACUCUUUAAGGGUAACUAUAUGAGCCCACUUGAAUGUGAAAAAAUCUGUAGUGUCAAAUUGGGUAUUCUCACUUCAUCACAACAAGCACAUGUGAAUGACUAAAUACAUUGUUACGUUUUUUUUUAAAUACUGUCCAUUAUGAAAUAAACUUUCUGUGAACAUG